CUCUUUAAUUUUUAUCAACCUGCAGACAAAAAAGGGCACAACAUUAUCUUGUAGUGCAUGCAUGACUGUACCACAUUCAUUAUGAUCAGUGAGAUGAGCAUGGCUGCAGCUGUCCUUUUGGAAGAAAUCUACAGUGGAUAUCACUAUAAAAGGUGAACACUAGGAAGCAGCAAGGGAAAAAAGGAUGAACAGCUUCUGAUUAUUGGAGAUGCUU